GCUCGGGUGGUGGAAUUGGUAGACACACACGUUUGAGGGGCGUGUGCCGAAAGGCGUAAGGGUUCGAGUCCCUUCCCGAGCACCA
rnacentral:tRNA from 3 species